rnacentral:rRNA from 1 species
UGGGGAAUAUUGGACAAUGGGCGCAAGCCUGAUCCAGCCAUGCCGCGUGUGUGAGGAAGGCCUUCGGGUUGUAAAGCACUUUUGUCCGGAAAGAAAUCCUGUCGGUUAAUACCCGGCGGGGAUGACGGUACCGGAAGAAUAAGCACCGGCUAACUUCGUGCCAGCAGCCGCGGUAAUACGAAGGGUGCAAGCGUUACUCGGAAUUACUGGGCGUAAAGCGUGCGUAGGUGGUCUGUUAAGUCUGAUGUGAAAGCCCUGGGCUCAACCUGGGAACUGCAUUGGAUACUGGCAGUCUGGAGUGCGGUAGAGGGUAGCGGAAUUCCCGGUGUAGCAGUGAAAUGCGUAGAUAUCGGGAGGAACAUCCGUGGCGAAGGCGGCUACCUGGACCAGCACUGACACUGAGGCACGAAAGCGUGGGGAGCAAAACAGGAUUAGAUAUCCUGGUAGUCCACGCCCUAAACGAUGCGAAACUGGAUGUUGGGAGCAAUUAGGCUCUCAGUAUCGAAGCUAACGCGUUAAGUUCGCCGCCUGGGAAGUACGGUCGCAAGACUGAAAACUUAAAGGAAAUUGACGGGGGUCAAUAGCUGUUUCCU